rnacentral:tRNA from 1 species
CUCAGUGUCUAGUGGUAUGAUUCUCGCUUUGGGUGCGAGAGGCCAUGGGUUCGAUUCCUGUCUGAG